GUCAACAUGUCCAGGUCGUUUCCCGUAGAAAACCCCGACAGGAUUGUUUUGUAAAAUCUACAAGCUGUGAUCAUUAUUGAAGCAUUGUAGAAGCCCAGGGAUGAUUAAACCAAUUUUAAGUCACCCAUUUCUUUAUGCCCGGGAUACCCGAUUAACCAAAAGAAACUUGAAGGUCACAAACAUGCGAGAUUGCAGACCCACGUUGCCUCGAUCGCCUGAUGUCAUGUCGUGUCACUGUGCAGUAGGAUUGUACAUGAGGAAACAACCUUACAGUACUUAAUUUACCCAGGAGUACACUACCUGUAGUUGAAAAAAGACUGAAGGCCAGACUUAGGCAGGAUGAUUGAACAAAAUCUGCUUGCAGAUGGACUAUUGAGGCAAAAAAAUUAGACUCUCAGCAGGUGAACAGAUGUUCAGCAAGAAAUUCUCACAUCAAAUGCUGUAGAUUACACUGAUAUACCUCCCCCCCAAAAAAGAAAAAAAGAACAGAGAUACCAAUCAUUAACAGCUUGAGACUUA